UUUUAAUGAUACGACUGUCCGGUCAAUGAUGUAUUAUUGUGUUAGUGAUGUGGUUCAGUGAGUGGGGCACGAUUUAAAUUGCGGAAAAUUAUGAGAGCGUAAUUAGAAUUUUAAUCAUCAGUUAUGUAGCAAUUAAGCUUUUCAUUUUAUAAAUUCUACGAAUUUUGUUAUUUUAAGACUGUGUAGCGUAAAUCUUACUAUGGAUUUCUUGGAACUGAUUAGAAGACAUUGGUUUUUGGCUGGAACAAUGGUUGCUAUUUUCUGUGCAGAAAUUUACCCGGAAUUAGGCGCAAAAGAAGGUCCUCUGAAUCCAGAAAUUACUGUUAAAUAUGGUGCUAUCUCACUCAUCUUCCUUGUCAGUGGACUGUCAAUAAAGUUAGAAGAACUGUUGGUUGCUGUUACUAAUGUUAAAAUACAUAUAUUUAUCCAGUUUUAUUCACAAGUAUUCACACCAAUAAUUGUGAAGAUACUGACAUUAUUCCUUUGGAUGGUUGGUGUGAAUGAAUGGAUUUUAAAAGGAUUGAUUACCAUUGGCUGCAUGCCACCCCCAGUGUCUUCCGCUGUCAUUCUGACAAGAACUGUUGGGGGAAAUGAGGCAGCCGCAGUUUUUAACUCUGUGUUGGGAUGCCUUAUUGGAAUUAUACUCACUCCUUUUACACUUCUGUUUUUUUUGAGGACCACAACACUUGUCCCUGUGUUCAGCACCAUAUUUCAGCUCACAUUGACAGUGGUGGUACCCCUUGCAAUAGGACAACUGGUCUGUUUUGUCACUGACUUCAAAGCUUCAAGUUAUCCUAUUGGAAUACUUGGGCAAAUUUCCCUACUUUUCAUAAUCUUCACAACCUUCUGCCAAGCAUUCCUGAGCCAAGAUAUGCAAAUGGAUGCGCAUGAUAUUUUAACAACCAUUUUGCUGGUGGUUUUGAUCCUCAUGUUCCUUACAUGGCUGGUAUUCUGGAUUUCUUCCAAGAUGAUGCAUUCGUUCCGUCCGGAGGAUGUCAUUGCCAUAAUCUUCUGCUGCACUCAUAAGUCUCUCACACUUGGCAUUCCCAUGUUACGUAUUCUGUAUGGAGGAUAUGCUCACCUAUCCACUAUAUCAUUACCUUUAUUAGUAUAUCACCCUACUCAGAUCAUAAUGGGAGGACUACUAGUGGCAUAUCUUCAGGACUGGAUGAUAUCUAGGCAACGGUCCAGGAAAUCUGUUGCAAAAUGUAAAACAGAAGUGUCACUGCACAGUACUUAUCUGUUUGUAGGACAAAACUGGAAGCCUAAGACUACACCUUAAUAUACUGCUUCCACUGCUAGAUGGUACUUCAGGCAAAGAAUUGAACUUUUUAUUUUGCAGGUUGGUGCAGUGAUGAGCUAUAUAUGGAGUAUACUGCAAGACUUGCUUUUAGAACUGGCUAUGGAUCCUAAGUAUAUUGCUGUAAUGGGACAAGAGUUGGAGUCUUCUGCUUCAUUCUUCAUACAGUAUCAUUCCAAAGCAACUUCAGGGAUGUUGUAGGAGAGUUGUGGACUGAUAUGGGUAUUAACAAGCAAAACAUCAAGACAACUUAUAUUCUGCAUAGUCUUACUGUGUGACAAUAUCUGAGUACAUGGUGAGGAUGAGGUAAAGCAAAAUAUUUCUUGGUUGAAGGUUCUGGCAAAUUUGUUUCCCAGGAGAAAAAUAUCAACUAUAAAAUAAAGUGCUUCAUGUGUAUACUGAUAAUGUGAAAGCAUUACACAUUUAUAGUCUUUUACAUGGAUGUUAAUCUCAUUCAACCCUGUACCUUCUCCUAGGUUUGUAUGGAUCAACCAGUUCUUUACCAUGUUGUCUUGCUAUUUUUAAAAGUAUAUACUGUUUUUAUAUCUUAUAUCCAAAAAAAAAGAAUUGUGCUGUGAAUUCUUUUUGCCCCUAGUGGUUCAAUAUCAAAAAUGGUCUUUAUUGCAUGAUUAUAUGUUUGUUACAUGAGUGAUUAUCUGAAAGUAAGUAAAGAAGGGCCAUGGUUUUAGAAAUGAGGAAUUAUAUCAGUAGUUCAGUGAUUUGGUACUUUUGUAAUUUCAAGGUACAUGGAGAUCUGACUCAAGACCAGAGCCAUAUGGCAUGAACAUCAUAGAUUUUUUAGAUACAUGGCAACCAGAGGAAUUUUUAACUAUUAUUUUCUUUAACCCUUUAGCAGUUGAGUAGUUAAGUGUACUGGUAACCCUCUCACAUGUUUUCAGAGUAGUAAAAUAUUUAUGGGUAAAUUUCUGAAUCAAUUAGUGAUGGAAACACAAGAAGACUAUCAUAGAAGUGAACUAACAGUUUUUAGGGUAUACCAUUUCUGAAAUUUGGACAGGGCACAGAAUUCUGUUGCAUGGAGCACACUCAUUUGAAUUGGAACCUUCUUUUAGUAUUCCUCAAUUUAAUGUUUUCCUUCAUUUAGUGUUGAAUUUCUAUGAUCCCAAGCCAAUAACCUCAGUGUUAAAUUAUCUCUAUUUAAGAUUUUUAUCAAUUUAGUGUUCAGAUCCACUGAUCUCCAGGCAAACCUGAAAUAGGGGUUUCAUUGUAUCUUGCUUCUGGUUAUUCUGGAAGGUGAUUUGCUUGAAAUAAGGCACUCAGAGCCAAAGUUGCCCAUCCUGGAUAUGAGUUUGUGUUAUUUCAUAUUUGUUUUUGGAUUCAGAUCAUCAGCCAGUCAUAUGACUGCUUGUAGCAUAAUAUAAAACAUUUU